rnacentral:rRNA from 1 species
GACGAACGCUGGCGGCGUGCCUAACACAUGCAAGUCGAACGGAGUUAACCGCUGAAUUGAAGGUAGCUUGCUACUGAAUUUUCUUGGUUAACUUAGUGGCGGACGGGUGAGUAACGCGUGAGCAACCUGCCUUACAGAGGGGGACAACAUUGGGAAACCGAUGCUAAUACCGCAUAACAUAUAUUUGUGGCAUCACAGAUAUAUCAAAGGAGCAAUCCGCUGUAAGAUGGGCUCGCGUCCGAUUAGAUAGUUGGUGAGGUAACGGCUCACCAAGUCGACGAUCGGUAGCCGGACGGAGAGGUUGAACGGCCACAUUGGGACUGAGACACGGCCCAGACUCCUACGGGAGGCAGCAGUGGGGGAUAUUGCACAAUGGAGGAAACUCUGAUGCAGCAACGCCGCGUGAGGGAAGAAGGUUUUCGGAUUGUAAACCUCUGUUUUUAGUGACGAAACAAAUGACGGUAGCUAAAGAGGAAGCCACGGCUAACUACGUGCCAGCCGCCGCCGUAAGAC